GACUCCGUGGUACAGUGGUUAACGCAUCCGCCUGGAGAGCGGAAGAUCAUAGGUUUAGAUCUUACCGGUGUCU
rnacentral:tRNA from 1 species